rnacentral:rRNA from 1 species
UACGGGAGGCAGCAGUGGGGAAUAUUGCACAAUGGGCGAAAGCCUGAUGCAGCUAUGCCGCGUGUAUGAAGAAGGCCUUAGGGUUGUAAAGUACUUUCAUCGGGGAGGAAAAAACAAAACUAAUAAUUUUAUUUCUUGACGUUACCCGAAAAAGAAGCACCGGCUAACUCCGUGCCAGCAGCCGCGGUAAUACGGAGGGUGCUAGCGUUAAUCAGAAUUACUGGGCGUAAAGAGCGCGUAGGCUGAUUAGUAAGUUAAAAGUGAAAUCCCAAAGCUUAACUUUGGAAUUGCUUUUUAAAACUGCUAGUCUAGAGAUUGAAAGAGGAUAGAGGAAUUCCUAGUGUAGAGGUGAAAUUCGUAAAUAUUAGGAGGAACACCAGUGGCGAAGGCGUCUAUCUGGUUCAAAUCUGACGCUGAGGGCGCGAGGCGUGGGGAGCAAACAGGGAUUAGAUACC